UGAACGCUGGCGGCGUGCUUAAUACAUGCAAGUCGAACGAAGAUGUUCUUGAGUUUACUCGAGAGCUCUUAGUGGCGAACGGGUGAGUAACGCGUUGGUGACCUGCCCUAAAGAAGGGAACAACCUCGGGAAACUGAGACUAAUACCCUAUGUGCUUCUUAAGAUUAGAUGCUUUUGAAGUAAAGGUUCUGUGGACGAAAGGACACAGUGCCGCUUUAGGAGGGGCCUGCGUACCAUCAGCUAGUUGGUAGGGUAAUGGCCUACCAAGGCGAUGACGGUUAGGGGACCUGAGAGGGUGACCCCCCACACUAGCACUGAAACACGGGCUAGACACCUACGGGUGGCAGCAGUAGGGAAUCUUGCACAAUCGACGAAAGUCUGAUGCAGCAACGCCGCGUGUGCGAUGAAGGCCUUCGGGUUGUAAAGCACUUUUCUGAGGGAAGAGAAAGGACUGUACCUCAGGAAUAAGUCUCGGCUAACUAC
rnacentral:rRNA from 1 species